UCCGCUGAGGAAAAGGUACUCCCGGGUUCUGCGAAGUUAGAGACUGUGACAGAUUUGAGAAGACGGAACUGAAGAACUGGUCGGUUCAAACGUGGGUAGUUUACAUCAGAGACUUCAGAGCCAGAUGUUCUGGACCCCCCAGGGUUCAGUGUCCCCGUUAUCCAGACGGGAAGAUGUGUCUGAGGACCACAUGGAUAUGUAUCAGCAGAACUGUGUUCAUUAGACGGUCAUUUACCUCAUGUUGCAGGAUGAAUGAUUAGCAGAAGACAUGGUUUGUGGUUUGAAAGAAAAUGGCACCUAUGGGCUCAGAAAAUGGCACUAUUAGGAGGCGUGGCUGUGCUGGAACAGGUGUUUCUGGCUAUGAGACAUGUCAGCUCCAGGCAGCAUCCUAUUCGACUUGCAAGAAGAUGUUGAGCAUCGAAGAACUUCCUUUAGAAAAUGGCUCCGAAAGUGGCAAGCUGCCACUGAGCAAGGAAAUGCCUUCGCUUCAACUGCAGAUAGAAUGCUGUCCAAAAUAGAUAAAAUUUGGAUGCAGGCAAAGUUGACUGCCAAGCUCUGUCAAGACAAGGUGUGGAACAAGACCCUCCUAUGGCAUCUUGAGAACCCAAGCUGUCUGACUGGGGAGAUAGACAGCGUCUUUGAGCCAGAACAACAUGAAUAAGCUACGUGAUUGCCUGACCCCCUUAAAAUGGGUGAGACAGUGUUUACUGGCUGGCCCAAUGGGAGUCUUCACGUUUAAAUCUGGAAAUCUGCUGCUGCACACAGUGCUCACCAGGGGGCAACAGGAGUCCAAGGAGAAAAGCAAAGAGAACCGUGUUCCUUGCCCCGAAGUGUGCGUUCACAAACCCAUCUCCAUCCCAUCACAGAUAUCUUGAAGCAGAAAGGAGGAGCAGGAGAGGAGGAAGAAGAGCAGAUGGUCACAGUUGCCUGUUCCCCACCCAUCCCUUUCCCACCCCCAUCCCCUUCCCACCCCCAUCUCCCAUUCCUGAAAGUGAGAAAAAAGGAGGAAAUGGGAUUAACAAUGUUCUGAUGUUUUUCAUUGUUCCUAGAACCAGACA